rnacentral:rRNA from 1 species
GACGAACGCUGGCGGCGUGCUUAACACAUGCAAGUCGAGCGGUAAGGCCCUUUCGGGGUACGACGAGCGGCGAACGGGUGAGUAACACGUGGGUGACCUGCCCUCAGCUCUGGGAUAAGCCUGGGAAACCGGGCCUAAUACUGGAUAUGACUCCAUGACGCAUGUUGUGGGGUGGAAAGCCUUGUGCGGCUGAGGAUGGGCCCGCGGCCUAUCAGCUUGUUGGUGGGGUGAGGCCUACCAAGGCGACGACGGGUAGCCGGCCUGAGAGGGCGACCGGCCACACUGGGACUGAGACACGGCCCAGACUCCUACGGGAGGCAGCAGUGGGGAAUCUUGCGCAAUGGGCGAAAGCCUGACGCAGCGACGCCGCGUGAGGGAUGACGGCC